AUUGAACGCUGGCGGCAGGCCUAACACAUGCAAGUCGAGCGAGCGGCGGACGGGUGAGUAAUGUAUGGGAAUCUGCCCGAUAGAGGGGGAUAACUACGGGAAACGGUGGCUAAUACCGCAUACUAUCGGAUGAACCCAUAUGGGAUUAGCUAGUGGGUGGGGUAAAGGCUCACCUAGGCGACGAUCUCUAGCUGGUCUGAGAGGAUGAUCAGCCAAACUGGGACUGAGACACGGCCCAGACUCCUACGGGAGGCAGCAGUGGGGAAUAUUUCACAAUGGGCGCAAGCCUGAAGCAGCCAUGCCGCGUGUAUGAAGAAGGCCUUAGGGUUGUAAAGUACUUUCCGCGGGGAGGCGUUACCCGCAGAAGAAGCACCGGCUAACUCCGUGCCAGCAGCCGCGGUAAUUC
rnacentral:rRNA from 1 species